UACGGAGGGGGCAAGCGUUGUUCGGAAUUACUGGGCGUAAAGCGCGCGUAGGCGGACAUGCAAGUCGGGGGUGAAAGCCCGAGGCUCAACCUCGGAACUGCCUUCGAUACUGCUUGUCUCGAGUCCGGGAGAGGUGAGUGGAAUUCCUAGUGUAGAGGUGAAAUCCGUAGAUGUUAGGGAGAACACCAGUGGCGAAGGCGGCUCACUGGUCCGGUACUGACGCUGAGGCGCGAAAGCGAGGGGAGCAAACAGG
rnacentral:rRNA from 1 species